UUGCAAUGUUACGCUGCGGCUUUUUGUCUUGUUUUGGUUACUGACAAAUUUACUGUCAAAAACGAGACUGAGCUUCUGCUUGCGAGUGGAAAAAUCUCACCUUUUCUCCUUAGCAACUACUGUUUUGGCUUGGAGUGCUGAAACCCUACCCAUGGAGGGUUUCAGGCUGCUAGUUAAUGUGCAGUGCAGUAUCCAAGCAUUGCAUAAGUAUGGUUUGCAUGUGUACUCUCCAUGAACCCAGUGACUCCGUAAACCCUGGACAUAUGGCAAAAGAAACACACUAUACCAGAUAAUCAACAGAUUACACUAGAUUAAGGUAAUAUUCCGAAAUCUCCCAAUUAUGGUGCAUUUCUUAAUGUAGGAUAGAAAAAUAAUUAUAUAUGAGAGAAAGAAGGGACUUUUUGAAGUUCUCCGUUUAAAAGGACUAUUCUCUCUGCGGUAAGGCAAGACUUUAUAAAAAUAAGCCCAAAAGCUGUGUGUGAUUUCCCAUUCCCUGUCAGGGCCAAGAUGGUCUUUGCUUUCAGGGGUCAGGUUUCAGGCUUCUGCUGAUUUCAAAGCGAAUGAGACGAGCUGAGCAGUGGGCAUUUGUGAACGUUGGCAGCGAUAUCCUGUGUGGGACUGAGAGACCCUUUGUAGACCUAGAUUAACAUGAAUGGCAGUAAAAUAAAUAUCUUCUAGUAUACAGGAGCAUGAAUUAACAUCUGUUUCUCCCGCUGUUUUUCUGGGGCGGAUUCGAUGUUCAGUGCACCAUGUGGUGAAGUCAUUUCCGAUAUGGCUGAAAUCUAUAUCCAGCAAAUCCAAAGCAGGCAACAGAAAUACGGUAUCCCGGAGCAGCCUUCCCUAGGCCUGGCAUUCCCUGGCUCAGCAGUAGCCCCUCAUCUCUUGGGACAGCAAUAUGGGAAUAUGGUGUCGUCACACGGGGUGAGCUGCGCUGCUUCAUUAUACGUGGUUUGCACAAAAAAGCUUUACAGUCCUAGGUGAGCAUAAAGUGGCAGAAAACAGUAGGCUUGUGCUAUGUGCGGGGCUGUGGAACGCUCACUGAGGAAGCCACGGGAGCGACAGGUCUGCAGUGAGGUCCCCCUCAUGCUGACGAAAACAGCUCCGAUCCAUUGAGCCUGGACUCCAGAAGACCUCUGAAGGUGUCCUGUGGUAUCUGGCACCAAGAUGUUAGCAGUGAAUCCUUAAGUCCUGUAAAUUGAAAGUGUAGCAGGGUGCAUUAUCCUGCUGAAAGUGACCACUGCCAUCAGGGAAUACCGUUGCCAUGACGGGGUGUACUUGGUCUGCAACAAUGUUUAGCACCGCUCGACUGGCUCCACCAUCUUUCAAGGCACGAAGAAGACAUGCGUCUAGACUCUUCUCCGUCGUGGCACCUAUGUGGUGGAAUGAACUUCCCCGAGAUGUUCGAACAGCUGAGUCACUGAGUGCCUUUAAAUGACGACUGAAAACCUACCUCUUUGGGAAGUACUUGGAUUAGCACUUCCAGGAUUAUACUUUGAUUAUUAACUCUAUUGGCAAAUACAUUUUUUUAGUGUGAUAGUAUUCUUCUUAGCUGGGUUUCAUUGAUCCAGUAUCAGCAUGUAUUCACUGAUGGGACUUCUAGGUCCUUAUGUAUAUCGCUCUGGCUAUGGGUGUCUGCCAAAUGCCGUAAAUGUAAAUAUUCAAAAAUGGAAUUUUGCAAGGAUUGUUGUUGGGGCAAGUACUACCCACGUAAUAUUUGUAUAGAUAGAUCAAAACUAAUUACGUUCUAUCCAUUGUCCCCAUACUAAGAUUGCUACUGGUUAAUGAAGAGAAAAAAAAUGAAAGUUACAGAGAUGCCAAAUAUCAGGCAUUAGACGUGACACUCGCAUUUUCAGACACUCACGCUCAUGCAAGAAAUCUUACAGCAAUUCUAUAUUAUUCCAUUAAAAUUAGCUAUAUGAAAGCAUUGGGGUAGUUUGUAAAACCUACAGACUACCUGCAGGGUAAUGAAGCAGUUGCCUACAUAUAAUUGUGUGUGCAGAUUUCCCUCAUAGUGAAAAUCUCACUCCAGCCAGCUGACCAGAGUUGCCAACCCUGAAGUUUUGCUGCUUAGAAGGUGCUGCCUGGGGUGAGCAGCAUCUGAGCUGGAGUCCUGGUUCAGUCCCAUGGAGAGGUGACAUCGCGAACAGGACAUACGAACUGUAUCAUCGUGGGGGCAGCAUCCAGUGCCCCCCCACACAGGCCAGCGUGGAUAACAGACUCAUUCAUGGACUUUGUCUUGAUCCAUAAUCACAGCUUAUACCCAGCCUUUAGCAUGCAAGUCCACUCUUUUCUGUUUUCAGUAAUGUGAGUAUGGCCCGGGGGGGUGGGCAGCCAGUUGACCUUGGACCCCCAGAGGUUUUAUUUCUCCUUACUUGGGAUAUUUUGGUUCCUCCUCCGUUGUCAUCUGACUUUCUUUAUUUAAUUUCUUUCCUUUCUUUUUCCUGGUCUGUAUUACUCUCUAAUGAUGUAAUGUAUCACAACACAUCCAUGUAAAGCACCUUUUGAUGACUCUUAUGUACAAGGCGCUAUGAUCCUGUGUGCUCUUGACACAACUCGCGGUAGCACUUUCUGAUCAGCUGCCGUGCAGCCAAGAUGCCACACACAAAUACAGAAGGUUAGCAUACUCGCUGUGGUGCGGCGGAGAUACCACGCGCAGGUACAGCGGGUUAGCAUACUCGCUGUGGUGCGGCUGAGAUACCGCGCGCAGGUACAGCGGGUUAGCAUACUCGCUGUGGUGCGGCUGAGAUACCGCGCGCAGGUACAGCGGGUUAGCAUACUCGCUGUGGUGCGGCUGAGA